CCCUGGUCCUCCCGCAACAAUACCUCGUUUACCUGGUCAGGUCCGGAAGGAAGCAGCCAAGGCGGGCGACUUGUGUGCCGGGAUGUGGCUGGGGCCU
rfam:Vibrio sp. qd031 contig_76, whole genome shotgun sequence.